GACCGCUCCGGUGGCCUAGUGGCUAGAGCGUCCGUCUCCGAUACGGGAGGUUGUGGGUUCGAUCCCCGGUCGAGUCA